rnacentral:rRNA from 1 species
GUGAGGAAUAUUGGUCAAUGGGCGUAGGCCUGAACCAGCCAAGUAGCGUGCAGGAAGACUGCCCUAUGGGUUGUAAACUGCUUUUAUGCGGGAAUAAAGUCAGGUACGUGUACCUGUUUGCAUGUACCGCAUGAAUAAGGACCGGCUAAUUCCGUGCCAGCAGCCGCGGUAAUACGGAAGGUCCGGGCGUUAUCCGGAUUUAUUGGGUUUAAAGGGAGCGCAGGCGGAGGAUUAAGCGUGACGUGAAAUGUCCCGGCUCAACCGUGGAACUGCGUCGCGAACUGGUUUUCUUGAGUGAGUGCGACGUCGGCGGAAUUCGUGGUGUAGCGGUGAAAUGCUUAGAUAUCACGAAGAACCCCGAUUGCGAAGGCAGCCGACGAGUCCUUAACUGACGCUAAAGCUCGAAAGUGCGGGUAUCGAACAGGAUUAGAUACCCGGGUAGUCC